rnacentral:rRNA from 1 species
GCGACCCUACGGAGGCAGCAGUCGGGAAUAUUGCGCAAUGGAGGAAACUCUGACGCAGUGACGCCGCGUAUAGGAAGAAGGUUUUCGGAUUGUAAACUAUUGUCGUUAGGGAAGAUACAAGACAGUACCUAAGGAGGAAGCCCCGGCUAACUAUGUGCCAGCAGCCGCGGUAAUACAUAGGGGGCAAGCGUUAUCCGGAUUUAUUGGGUGUAAAGGGUGCGUAGACGGAGAAACAAGUUGGUUGUGGAAUCCCUCAGCUCAACUGAGGAACUGCAACCAAAACUAUUUCCCUUGAGUGUCGGAGA